GACACAUAGCUUAAUUUAACAGCUUCUCAUCCUUCUUCUCUCCUUUCUAUAUUUGUACUAAACAUCAGUUAGUCUCUUUGAAUAUUCAUAUUGAGUUUACAUGCCCUUACUUUUCACAUUCAGCUUUCGAAUAAUUAUGUUCUGAAAACUGCAACAAAGGCAGCAAAAUCAUUUGCAAAUCUGAAGAGUCUUGUGUACUCUGUUACCUUGAGGCCGUAGUCCUUCAGUUCAUCGUUUCUGACGCUUUUCCACUGGCAGAAGGAGGAUGCCAGACUCUAGAAACAGAAAAAAUGAAAGAGAAAUGGGUGAAUACCAGGUUCAAUACACAAGACUUCAUCCUUUGUACACGGACAGACCCAUGCUCUUCCCUUAAGGAGAGCUCCUGACAACCCUGCAGCAAAUGUCCUACCUUACAAAGCGUUGGCCUCUCUUUAUCUAAGGCCUGGAAGAACUGCAAAGAAUUGGAAAGAUAUUCCCUGAAUUUGGUGGCCUAGGCAAGCUGAUGCAUGUCUGUAA